rnacentral:tRNA from 1 species
GGCCCUGUAGUUCAACGGAUAGAACGGAAGUUUCCUAAACUUUAAAUAGGAGUUCGAUUCUCCUCGGGGCUACUA